rnacentral:rRNA from 1 species
UACGGAGGGUGCAAACGUUGCUCGGAAUCCUUGGGCGUAAAGCGCACGUAGGCGGUCCGUUAAGUCGGGAGUGAAAGCCCUCGGCUCAACUGAGGAAGUGCUUUCGAAACUGGCGGACUUGAAUACUGGAGAGGAUCGCGGAAUUCCCGGUGUAGAGGUGAAAUUCGUAGAUAUCGGGAGGAACACCAGCGGCGAAGGCGGCGAUCUGGACAGAUAUUGACGCUGAGGUGCGAAAGCGUGGGGAGCAAACAGG